rnacentral:lncRNA from 1 species
UGUGUGUGUGUGUGUGUGUGUGUGUGUGUGUGUGUGUGUGUGUGUGUGUGUGUGUGUGUGUGUGUGUGGACAGCCACUAGCAUGGGUGGAUGCUGUACAGAAUUGUUAGCCCUGUGCAAACAGUUUUCAAUUACACAGUGCCACGGUUUCGACACACGGACACACACACACUGCCACGGUUCACGGCCUCACAGCUCUCUUUCAAUGACUCAUUCAGCUGAGCUGUUUACACCCUGACCAUCUGUAAAUAAGGUUGUGGUGUUUUUGAGUACAGCAGCUCUCUGUUCUGCUCUUACCUUCAGGAGGUCGUUACUGUACGCUACAGUCGAUAAACCAGGAGGCCUGUACUGGAGGACUCUGUACGCUACAGUCGAUAAACCAGGAGGUCUGUACUGGAGGACUCUGUACACUACAGUCGAUAAACCAGGAGGUCUGUACUGGAGGACUCUGUACACUACAGUCUGUAAACCAGGAGGUCUGUACAGGAGGACUCUGUACGCUACAGUCUGUAAACCAGGAGGCCUGUACAGGAGGACUCUGUACGCUACAGUCUGUAAACCAGGAGGCCUGUACAGGAGGACUCUGUACGCUACAGUCUGUAAACCAGGAGGCCUGUACUGGAGGACUCUGUACGCUACAGUCUGUAAACCAGGAGGUCUGUACAGGAGGACUCUGUACGCUACAGUCUGUAAACCAGGAGGCCUGUACAGGAGGACUCUGUACGCUACAGUCGAUAAACCAGGAGGUCUGUACAGGAGGACUCUGUACGCUACAGUCGAUAAACCGGGAGGUCUGUACAGGAGGACUCUAUGACAUCAUUUACAUGGUCUAAAAAACACCUUAAUUUAACAAUAUAAAAUAUAUAUUUAACCUUAAUUUAACAAUAUAAAAUAUAUAUUUAACCUUUAUUUAACUAGGCAAGUCAG